rnacentral:rRNA from 1 species
GCGAGUGAAGAGGGAGAGCUCAAAUUUGAAAGCUGGUACCUUCGGUAUCCGCGUUGUAACCUCGAGACACGUUUUCCGUGCGGCGCUAUGGACAAGUUCCUUGGAACAGGACAUCGUAGAGGGUGAAAAUCCCGUACUUGCCAUGGAUGUACCGUGCUUUGCGAUACGUGCUCUAAGAGUCGAGUUGUUUGGGAUUGCAGCUCAAAAUGGGUGGUAGACUCCAUCUAAAGCUAAAUAUCGGGGAGAGACCGAUAGCGAACAAGUACCGUGAGGGAAAGAUGAAAAGCACUUUGGAAAGAGAGUUAAAAGUACGUGAAAUUGUCGAAAGGGAAGCGCUUGAAGUCAGCCAUGCCGCUCAGGACUCAGCCUGGCUUUUGCUUGGUGUAUUUCCUGGGUAGCAAGUCAGCAUUGGUUUGGAUCGUCGGAGAAGCAUAGUCGGAAUGUGGCGCCCUCGGGCGUGUUAUAGCCUUCUAUUGGAUAGGGACGAUCUAGACCAAGGAACGCAGCGCGCCUU